rnacentral:rRNA from 1 species
GACGAACGCUGGCGGCGUGCUUAACACAUGCAAGUCGAACGGAAAGGCCCUGCUUUUGUGGGGUGCUCGAGUGGCGAACGGGUGAGUAACACGUGAGUAACCUGCCCUUGACUUUGGGAUAACUUCAGGAAACUGGGGCUAAUACCGGAUAGGAGCUCCUGCUGCAUGGUGGGGGUUGGAAAGUUUCGGCGGUUGGGGAUGGACUCGCGGCUUAUCAGCUUGUUGGUGGGGUAGUGGCUUACCAAGGCAUUGACGGGUAGCCGGCCUGAGAGGGUGACCGGCCACAUUGGGACUGAGAUACGGCCCAGACUCCUACGGUAGGCAGCAGUGGGGAAUAUGGCACAAUGGGCGGAAGCCUGAGGCAGCAACGCCGCGUGCGGGAUGACGGCCUUCGGGUUGUAAACCGCUUUCGCCUGUGACGAAGCGGGAGUGACGGUAAUGGGUAAAGAAGCACCGGCUAACUACGUG